rnacentral:lncRNA from 1 species
AGAUUCUGACUCACGGAGGUCUCAUCAUCAUCAGAAUCAUUCCCAAACACUGAUGGUUUCGCCUGCCCAGAAUCGCCACCUUGCUCCCUUCUCCGCUGAACGUAGUUGACGCUGACGUGACGCAGACACCGUCAGGUAAAUUCUCGCGCGACUUUGAGUAAAUUCUCGCGUUUAGCAAUUUUAUCUGUUUGAGUUGUUUUUAGAUUCCUGGUUAAUGUGUCUUAGGGCGUCUGCUUUGUUUUGAAGCCGACCAGCUGCAGUUCAUAGACGUUUCAGCCCAUAAUUGGCUGGUUCCGAGGCUGCCGUGGCAAACAAGCAUCGCAGAGGAGAAACAACUAGGCGCACCCAACGCACCAAAGGCAGGACUUUACUGGGGAAGGAGCUGCUGAGCUGCCUCGAACAAUGCAGGACAACAUAGCUGAUUUGAAUAUGGAGCAAGCAGUCUGUAGCAGGACUGUGAUGAAAGAAGAGGCAACCUGUACCCAAGGACAGAGUCUUCAGGAUAGAUUCUAUGAUUAUGAAUUUUGUAAUUCAUGCAGAAACUGGUACCCAGGAGCCCUCUUUCUCUCCAGACUAAAGAAAGGACAUUGUUUUUCUGACAUAAACAAAUCUCCAGGGGAAGAGGAAAAUAUCCUUCUAUGUUUAUAAUGCUUUGGAUUGUAAAUAAAUAGCACCAAUGGAGAUAGGUUUGUAAGCCACUCUGGAGAUCUCCAACCUCCAAGGCAUGUUUACCAUUCAAACAUCCUUUAAACCUAAUUUCUGACAAGUUUGCUUAGAAAGCCCUUAGUGUGCAGAAAUAUGAAAAUAUUAAUUGUUUUUCUGUAACUGGUAAAUGAGUCAUAUUUUAUUUUCCCUUUUCGAAGUACUUGUGCCAUUUCUGAGUCAUCUUCAUUUAUUUUUCUAUAAACAUUGUUCAUAGUCAAGCUCUCUCUAAGGAGCUUCUAUGCUUCUUUAAGUAUGUGGAGUUCACUGAAAGUGGUAGUAUCAGUAUUACCUUGGGUUACAAGAUAUAGUUAAAUUCGAG